rnacentral:rRNA from 1 species
GACGAACGCUGGCGGCGUGCCUAACACAUGCAAGUCGAGCGGAGUCGAUCGACGGAAGCCUUCGGGCGGAAGAUGGUUGACUUAGCGGCGGAUGGGUGAGUAACGCGUGGGCAACCUGCCUCGAAGACCGGGAUAACAGCCCGAAAGGGCUGCUAAUACCGGAUGUGGUCAAGGAUCCGCAUGGAUUUUUGAUUAAAGGGGAAACCCGUUUCGAGAUGGGCCCGCGUCCUAUCAGCUAGUUGGUGAGGUAAAAGCUCACCAAGGCGACGACGGGUAGCCGGCCUGAGAGGGUGACCGGCCACACUGGAACUGAGACACGGUCCAGACUCCUACGGGGGGCAGCAGUGGGGAAUCUUCCACAAUGGGCGAAAGCCUGAUGGAGCGACGCCGCGUGAGCGAAGAAGGCCUUCGGGUCGUAAAGCUCUGUCUGGAGGGACGAAGGAAGUGGAACGGUACCUCCGGAGGAAGCCACGGCUAACUACGUGCCAGCGAGCCGACGGUAAAACCCACGAGAGUACUGA